rnacentral:rRNA from 1 species
CGAGUGGCGGACGGGUGAGUAAUGUCUGGGAAACUGCCCGAUGGAGGGGGAUAACUACUGGAAACGGUAGCUAAUACCGCAUAACGUCGCAAGACCAAAGAGGGGACCUUCGGGCCUCUUGCCAUCGGAUGUGCCCAGACGGGAUUAGCUAGUAGGUGGGGUAACGGCUCACCUAGGCGACGAUCCCUAGCUGGUCUGAGAGGAUGACCAGCCACACUGGAACUGAGACACGGUCCAG